rnacentral:rRNA from 1 species
AUGCUGGAGGUAUCAGAAGUGCGAAUGCUGACAUAAGUAACGAUAAAGCGGGUGAAAAGCCCGCUCGCCGGAAGACCAAGGGUUCCUGUCCAACGUUAAUCGGGGCAGGGUGAGUCGACCCCUAAGGCGAGGCCGAAAGGCGUAGUCGAUGGGAAACAGGUUAAUAUUCCUGUACUUGGUGUUACUGCGAAGGGGGGACGGAGAAGGCUAUGUUGGCCGGGCGACGGUUGUCCCGGUUUAAGCGUGUAGGCUGGUUUUCCAGGCAAAUCCGGAAAAUCAAGGCUGAGGCGUGAUGACGAGGCACUACGGUGCUGAAGCAACAAAUGCCCUGCUUCCAGGAAAAGCCUCUAAGCAUCAGGUAACAUCAAAUCGUACCCCAAACCGACACAGGUGGUCAGGUAGAGAAUACCAAGGCGCUUGAGAGAACUCGGGUGAAGGAACUAGGCAAAAUGGUGCCGUAACUUCGGGAGAAGGCACGCUGAUAUGUAGGUGAAGUCCCUCGCGGAUGGAGCUGAAAUCAGUCGAAGAUACCAGCUGGCUGCAACUGUUUAUUAAAAACACAGCACUGUGCAAACACGAAAGUGGACGUAUACGGUGUGACGCCUGCCCGGUGCCGGAAGGUUAAUUGAUGGGGUCAGCGCAAGCGAAGCUCUUGAUCGAAGCCCCGGUAAACGGCGGCCGUAACUAUAACGGUCCUAAGGUAGCGAAAUUCCUUGUCGGGUAAGUUCCGACCUGCACGAAUGGCGUAAUGAUGGCCAGGCUGUCUCCACCCGAGACUCAGUGAAAUUGAACUCGCUGUGAAGAUGCAGUGUACCCGCGGCAAGACGGAAAGACCCCGUGAACCUUUACUAUAGCUUGACACUGAACAUUGAGCCUUGAUGUGUAGGAUAGGUGGGAGGCUUAGAAGUGUGGACGCCAGUCUGCAUGGAGCCGACCUUGAAAUACCACCCUUUAAUGUUUGAUGUUCUAACGUUGACCCGUGAUCCGGGUUGCGGACAGUGUCUGGUGGGUAGUUUGACUGGGGCGGUCUCCUCCUAAAGAGUAACGGAGGAGCACGAAGGUUGGCUAAUCCUGGUCGGACAUCAGGAGGUUAGUGCAAUGGCAUAAGCCAGCUUGACUGCGAGCGUGACGGCGCGAGCAGGUGCGAAAGCAGGUCAUAGUGAUCCGGUGGUUCUGAAUGGAAGGGCCAUCGCUCAACGGAUAAAAGGUACUCCGGGGAUAACAGGCUGAUACCGCCCAAGAGUUCAUAUCGACGGCGGUGUUUGGCACCUCGAUGUCGGCUCAUCACAUCCUGGGGCUGAAGUAGGUCCCAAGGGUAUGGCUGUUCGCCAUUUAAAGUGGUACGCGAGCUGGGUUUAGAACGUCGUGAGACAGUUCGGUCCCUAUCUGCCGUGGGCGCUGGAGAACUGAGGGGGGCUGCUCCUAGUACGAGAGGACCGGAGUGGACGCAUCACUGGUGUUCGGGUUGUCAUGCCAAUGGCACUGCCCGGUAGCUAAAUGCGGAAGAGAUAAGUGCUGAAAGCAUCUAAGCACGAAACUUGCCCCGAGAUGAGUUCUCCCUGAC